rnacentral:rRNA from 1 species
AACGAACGCUGGCGGCAUGCCUAACACAUGCAAGUCGAACGAGACCUUCGGGUCUAGUGGCGCACGGGUGCGUAACGCGUGGGAACCUGCCCUUAGGUUCGGAAUAACUCCCCGAAAGGGGUGCUAAUACCGGAUAAUGUCUUCGGACCAAAGAUUUAUAGCCUUUGGAUGGGCCCGCGUUGGAUUAGCUAGUUGGUAGGGUAAAAGCCUACCAAGGCGACGAUCCAUAGCUGGUCUGAGAGGAUGAUCAGCCACACUGGGACUGAGACACGGCCCAGACUCCUACGGGAGGCAGCAGUGGGGAAUAUAGGACAAUGGGCGAAAGCCUGAACCAGCAAUGCCGCGUGAGUGAUGAAGGCCUUAGGGUUGUAAAGCUCUUUUACCCGGGAUGAUAAUGACAGUACCGGGAGAAUAAGCUCCGGCUAACUCCGUG